AUCCAGGAAGAUGAAUGGAAAGGGAUUUGGAUGGAUUGUCUGAUGUUCUAUUUCCAACUUAUCGAAUUAACGUCUAGCUGAGCCCAAUUUCCCCAAUCGUCUAUAAAGAACUUUUAUUCUGAAACAUAUUCCUCUUGAACGUAAUCGGUAAUAUUCAUUCCUCAAGAUUAAAUGGAAACUGGCAUACAUAUAUAAUCAAAGAAUUGGGAAGCCCAUCAAUGCCUACACCAAAGACGUAAAAUAUUUCUUAAAACCAUUUGAAGAUAAAAGCAUCUUGAAGUCAGUUAUCGUGAAAUAAAAAAAUCUGAAUUAUCAAAGUUAAUUUGAUUUGAAGUACGGUGCCACAAAUCAUUGUAAGUUCAAAUAUGAGAAAAAAGUUAGCUCAACGAGAACCUAAAAACAAGAUGUAUUCGGAUCCUCCAGUCAUGUGUUUUUUGUUGACGUGAUCACUAUUGUUUUGCUUUAGUUGUUUUCUUUUUCCAGUUUCAAAUAUUCGGACAGUGUGUUCUUAUUUUUGGGGUUUUCUUUGUGUUUUACUUUUAUGGUUUUAUUUUUUGGAUGGAUUUCGGCUUAUCUAAUGUGCAGUGCUUUGAUCGUGUUUGUUGGUUAAAUGAUAUGCUUGAAUUAUGAAUCAAAAUAAAGUGAAUCACCAAUAAAAUUAUCCAACUUUUUGGUCGCAUUAAUAAAUGUUAAUAAAGUUUUAUGCUUUACACAGCUCUGCAACAGUUUUGCACAUAAAUAGCCACCGGAAUCCAUUAUUCCAGCAAUCUAAAUGAUUUCACAUUAGCUUUGAGGCCAAUCUUUGAGUGUUCCUUUGUAAUUUCAUCAAUUAAAACACUGAAAGCUCAAGUUGCAGAUAAGUGUAAUUCCUUUGCUUGAUUGUUGAAAUGCUAUCCGAUAUUCAUUUAGUGUUUUUAUUGUUGUAGACUUUGACAAGGUUGAGGUCUUUUUCAAGUCACAUGACAAUGAAAUUGGUGAUAAGUGUUGAUACUUUCCCGGCGGGAUUCAGUUAGUUCAAUUAUUUAGCCGGGUUAGUUUAUCUUCCUCUUCUUUUUUUCCUCCAUUUUUUUGUGUUUGUAUGUGCCUUGACAGAAUUACUGAUGGGAAAGAUGUGCUCGAUAAGUUGUAAGGAACUUGAGAAGUUGGAAUGAGAGCUUCACGCCAUAGUAAUUAACCUUUGGUAUGGCGAACUACUCUUUUGUCAAUCGCGGAUUUCCUAAUUAUGUGCAGGAGGAUGUAAUUCCUUUGUUAUUUAUUUUUCUUCAUUUUAUAAUUUUUUUGGGGAUAUCACUAAUUUAGGUGGAAGAAACACUUUGCUGACAGUUUUCACUCGCAGGAUUGGGUUGAAAGGAGUGGGUUGUUGUUUCUCGGUGAUAUAUACGACUAAUGUUACUGCGUAUACAUAGACAUUACUUUUUUCUUUAAAAAAGAACGUAACUAUUUCGGAAGGCGAAUUGAACUUAUAUAGUUUUAGAUUUAACAUUCGUGUUUUGGAUUUCUUGGUGUCUCGUGCACAUUUUAGGGUUAGAUGAAUUUGGAAUUCUAGAGUUUUGAUCCAUGUUGUUUUAUUUUUCCUAUCAGAUAAUGUUCAAGUCAUAUGACAGGAAAAGUCUCUUGCACCUUUUUCGUGUUAUAUCAAACCUAAUCUUGGUGAUGUUGUUCAUAAAUGGUGCCAUUUCAAUAACCUGAAAGCUGAAGUGGAGCGAAUAUUAAAGAGUUUUGCAUCUAACUUCCUAAGUAAGUUUCGUUAACUAUAUUUUUGCAGUAUGCCAAAUGAUAUUACUAGGUUUUACCACAUCACUCUGUGGCAGAUAAAAUUUCUGUGAGAUAAAAAAAACAACGGAGACCCAGCAGUGAGUGAUAAAUUUAGCAUCUCAGGAAACAUGAUUUUGUGAAUCUUCUGAAUGACUUAACGUUUGCAGAGCAUCUAACUGGGGUCCAUUCAUAAUGAAUCCAUAACUGAGUACUUCUUCCAAAAUCUCUCCGUAGACUGCAAAUUAAGAACUUCUCUAAAGGUUAUUGAAAUUUAGUCGAUGAACAUGUACUACAUUAAUUUAUGUACGAAGCAAUAGCAUGUAUAUUAAGAAGCCUCUCUUUGUGAAUUUUAGUGGAGGGAUGUAAGAUCACAUGUUGUGAUACACUCACCAUGUCACUGUUAUGCACUGUAAGUAUAAUAAAUACUCCCAGUUCUAAAUUAGCAAAAAUAGGUACACAACCAAUUGGGCCCUUUCUUAUGAAUUCAGGAAGACAGGAAGCACACAGUUGAGGAUGCAUUACUAACUAUUUUCAGGGUCGAGAUUGGUUAUCAGCUUCAAUAUGAAUAAAAUUGUGUAAACAUACAGUGUAGCAAGGAUGAAUUACCCACAGUCCACUAUGAGUCGUCUCAAUGUCAAGAAUUUAUGCAGGAUGGCGAACAUUAAAGCCAUGAUGUUAUCAGGCUAGCACAAAGAAAAGGAAGCUCUGCAUUUGGAUAAAACCUAAAUCUGAGGCAUUGAAUGAGAUCAUCUAUUAUUGUCGUAGUUUGUUUUGUUGUUUUUUAGUCCAACUGUUUAGGUUAUUUGAAGCUGUGUCUGAUGAUUUGUA